UGGUCCUAGAGUUCACACUCACCAGGGCAGAAAGGACUGGCGCAGGAGACAUAGUUCUCCACUGUUGGCACGGUUCAGAACAAGUGAGUGGGACGAGGGCUUCCGUGUGAUCUCCAAGCGCCGUGCCUAGUUUGCUGUGGCUUCCGCCCGCCCGCCCCGCCCUGGCCCUGCAAACCUCUCUCUGCGCCUUGAUACCGCAGGGCGCCUUCUGCGGCUGCUGCUGGGGCGGUGGGCGGCCAGGCAGCUGGAGGAGCCCAUGACGAGGACCAGGAUGAGAACGAAGACUGGACCGAGACGCCCCCAGAUCAUGGCGUCUCUGCGGGAACCGACACAUAGACGAAGGACCUUGUAUACAGAGCUAUUUUACAGAAAUUGCGAGUGGCACCAUGGUAUUUCUUGUGGAGCCUCACCCUCUCCUGUGCCCGCGCCCUGUCGUCCUCUCAGUCCCUGGGCAGACAUUCAUAAGACCGUACCUCUAACCCCAUGGUGAAUCUCA
rnacentral:lncRNA from 1 species